UUUCUUAGUUUUAAAUCAUUAAGGGUUUAUAUCUGGAGUUGCUAGGAGCUAUUUUCUCUGGCAUGUGGAGAGAAAUUUUCUGAUGUAAAAGAGAGUGCUAUUAAAAUAGAGACAGUGAAAAUGAGAUGGAGAGAGAGAAAGAGAAGGAAGAGAGGGAGAGAGAUGAGGGGAGAGGGGAAAAAGGAUGGGGGAGGGGACAGAGGAGAAGGAAAAAGGGAGAGGGAAGAGAGGAGAGGAGAGACAUCUCCUGAAUCCUUAGUGGGUUUCACUUCCUAUCCUGGGUUUGGUUCCUGGAACCCUUCAUUUCAUUCUGUGAGCCAUUUCAGUAUCCUUCCCAUCCAAGAAAGCCAAGAAUACCCUUCUUGCUGAAACCGGUUUGAACUGACUCUUGUCUCUUGCAACCCAAAAGGUCCUGACUGCCCACCAGGGGCCCCCAGGCAUUAUCGGAUGUCAGGAUUUGCUUAUGAAACCCCUCCUUUUCCCUGCUAAGGCCUUUGGUACCCCCAGAACAUGCAGCAUCCUGAGACACCCUCCAAGCUCCUCAGCACCCUUCCUGGGCCUCCUCAGGCAUGCUCUUCACAGAUCUAUGCUUGGACCUUCUUCUCUGAUUCCAGACUGUCAUCUGUUCAUUUAUUCAGCAAACAUUUAUAAGCAUGGUGGAAACACAGCAACCAGUAGAAUGGAAAUAAAGGCAUGCCUAACUAUGAGUCAAUGUAAGAAGUAAUUUACUUCUUAAAUGAAAAGCUAUGAGAGGUCAGAGGAAAGAGUGACCAUUAUGGGUGGGGUCUGGAAAGGCUCCCUGGGAGCCGUAGAUGGGCAGAGAGGUGGGAUUUGGACAAUGGAAUGGAAGGAAAGUGUGUGAGCUUGGUGGUGGCUGUGGUAGCUCCAGGAAGGAGAGGUCUGGAGAAUCACAGUGGCAGCCUAGACCUGCAAAGUGCUGUGGGGAGCCCUGAACAUGGUGCUGGAGCAGCCCUUCCUUUCAUGGCCGUGCUGUCCAGCUGGGCCAUCCGGUAGUUCACUCUCAGCUCUAGUGCUAGUGCCUGGCUGGAGGAGGGCUUUACACAUUUGUAUCUUAGUAGUAUGGGGGGCUGUCUAUCCUUAACCCGAGGGGCUGACUACAGGAGUAGUUUCAGGCUUGGGGAGAUGGGUGGAUUUGUUGACUUGGGGACUCAGGAAACUUGCCACCACAGCCAUGCACAGGGCUCAUGGCACAGUACUCCAUCCACGCCAAGGCAGGCAUUGCCUCUGUGGCUGUGCUUGGCGGGGUCUGGGUGGGGGCAGAGUGUCUCUGCUUGCUGAAGGAGGUGGUUGGCAGGGUGCCUACCUUCCUGGAAGCCUUGUGUGCCACCUCCUGCAGGAACCUACUCUUUGCCCCACCUGUUCCACCAAAUGUAAUUUUCCAUGGAAAGACAGAAGCAUGGCUUUCCCCCAUUGGGGUGAUCUCUCUUUUUCUUGGUUGUUUGGAGUAGGCUGUGAUU
rnacentral:lncRNA from 1 species